rnacentral:rRNA from 1 species
UGGGGAAUUUUGCACAAUGGGGGAAACCCUGAUGCAGCGACGCCGCGUGAUUUAGAAGGCCUUCGGGUUGUAAAAAUCUUAUCUAUGGGAAGAAAAUGACAGUACCAUAGGAAUAAGGACCGGCUAAUUACGUGCCAGCAGCCGCGGUAAUACGUAAGGUCCGAGCGUUGUCCGGAAUCAUUGGGCGUAAAGGGUACGUAGGCGGGUAAGCAAGUUAGAAGUGAAAUCCUAUAGCUCAACUAUAGUAAGCUUUUAAAACUGCUCAUCUUGAGGUAUGGAAGGGAAAGUGGAAUUCCUAGUGUAGCGGUGAAAUGCGCAGAUAUUAGGAGGAAUACCGGUGGCGAAGGCGACUUUCUGGCCAUAACCUGACGCUGAGGUACGAAAGCGUGGGUAGCAAACAGG